UACGGAAGGCAGCAGUGGGGAAUAUUGCACAAUGGGCGGAAGCCUGAUGCAGCGACGCCGCGUGGGGGAUGACGGCCUUCGGGUUGUAAACUCCUUUCGACAGGGACGAAGCUUUUUGUGACGGUACCUGUAUAAGAAGCACCGGCUAACUACGUGCCAGCAGCCGCGGUAAUACGUAGGGUGCGAGCGUUGUCCGGAAUUACUGGGCGUAAAGAGCUCGUAGGUGGUUUGUCGCGUCGUCUGUGAAAUUCCGGGGCUUAACUCUGGGCGUGCAGGCGAUACGGGCAUAACUUGAGUGCUGUAGGGGAGACUGGAAUUCCUGGUGUAGCGGUGAAAUGCGCAGAUAUCAGGAGGAACACCGAUGGCGAAGGCAGGUCUCUGGGCAGUUACUGACGCUGAGGAGCGAAAGCAUGGGUAGCGAACAGGGAUUAGAUACC
rnacentral:rRNA from 1 species